GGGUGCGAUCAUACCAGCACUAAUGCAUCGGUUCCCAUUAGAACUCCGUAGUUAAGUGUGCUUGGGUGAGAGUAGUACUAGGAUGGGUGAGAGUAGUUAAGUAUUAGAAUUAAUGGGAAUUCCUCGUGUUGUACCCC
rnacentral:rRNA from 1 species